rnacentral:piRNA from 1 species
UACAGGAUGUUUAUAACAAGGCACAACCCUG